ensembl:lncRNA
GUGGGGUCAAAGGAAAGGAGGGGACCCCCAAGCUACCAUAGAGGUAGAAAGUUCCUCCUCACCUAGCCCCUCCGGACUCGUCCUCACCCCCUGCCAGGGAGCCGCGAGACAGAGGUGGCAGCGGCGAUGUAGGGCAGGAAAAGGCGGGGGAAGGGGGCGGUGAUUAUUCUCAACGCUCGGCCCAGGGGGAGGAGUGGAGCACCUCUCAGGCACCUGAGAUUCGACGGGGAGGGGAGGGGCGGUGUGUGUGGUGGCCAGAAGGGAGCGGAGGUCGGGUGGCGGCGGCGAGGAGAGGAGGGAGGAGAGAGAGGUCAGUGCACCUGGUCGCAGCCUCCAAGUUUCCCUAGACCGCUCCCCGGGAGUCCGCGGCUGCACAGAACUCCAUGGCUUCCUGGCCCGCCCCACCCCUGCGCUCAAUCUUUGCAAAAACAGCCUCUGCCGGCGCUACGGAUGCCGAGGCUGAGGCUGCUGGCGGUGGUGAGGAUGCUACUGCCACAGCCCGCCCCGCCACAGCUCGCGCGGCCGUCCCUGUGCCCCCUAAAGCUGCUCGUCGCCGCCAUGACAGCGCCGAGGGCUGCCGGGCGCGGCGUGCGCGUGCGCGAGCGCGCGGGGCGCUGGGGCGGGGGCGCGCGCGCGAAGGCGGAUGCAACCGCGCGGCAGGGUGGGGACGCGCGGGCGGCCUAGGGGGCCCGGAGGGGGCCCGAAGAGGGCGCGGGGAGGGUUGGGGACCCGCUGGCCGCGAGCUUGCUGGCGGGACGGCGCGUGAGGGCGGGCAUCUGAGCGGGCGCGCAGCUCAAGUAGCACCAGUUACCGUAGGGUCUCUUGGCGCGGAGGGAACCCGCCACACGUUGCCAAGGUGUCUUCUUGGACUUGGAGAAGGACACCUGAGGGACCGCUACGAGGCAGAGAGGUGGCAGCGCUGGAGCCAGGGAGGCUGCUGUCCUUGUCUCAGGGGAGCAGAGAGUCCCCACGCCUGACUGCUUUCAGCUGCUGCCCGCCCAGCGCGCUCGGCGAAGACUUGGAAAGAGAUUCCCACUGGGAUGCCCCGGCAGCUGCCACCAUUCGGAAGGAGGUGGGGGAGAACGUAUCGACGAGGAAAGGGAAAGAUUCCUUGCUUUGCAGCUGCCGUGCCACCAAACCUCUCCCACAUUCUAAGGAAGGGAGGAUUCCUGAGACAGCUGCUCCGAACAGCGUGGAGGCGGGGUUAACAUUGCCUGUAGAUCUCUGAGAGUUUUUUUCCUCUCGUGAUUUUCCAAUGUGAAAGUCAGGUUCGCCUCAUUCUCAGAUUAACUGAAAAGAUAAAUUAUAUUAGGAUUGUAACCAGCACAGAUCCUUAUAAUGUAUCCUUCUCCUCCACCCUCACUAUUAGCAGUAAAGCUUUCUUCCUGAUGCAUUAGUGAAAACAAACAAAUAUAGAAGAAAGUGGUUUUUCACCCUUAUGGUACUCUUUCAAGUCAUAAGGCCUUAAAAAAAAUUUUUCAUAUACUCGCAGUUCCCUAAAAUGAAAGUGAAGCAAAAAGUUGGGUCAAAAGUUAGGAAGUACCAUGGAGGAAUCAGAAGAAAAAAUUGUAUUGGUUUGAGAGAUGAAAUAGUUUCCUAGAGAACGGGUUAUUUGAGAUGGGCUUGAAAAGUAAACUGAACUUUAUCACAUGGAAAUUUGGGAGGAGGGAGGCAACAUGAGGAAAGAGAAGCACAGGAGUAUCUUCUUUAGAAAAGUGUUACAUCUUUUCAAAAUACUAAAAUGAAUUCAGCCGCACCAAAUCUCAUGUGGUUGCAGAUGUUUUUUAAAGAUUUGUUUUCUGUAAGUGGGCUUAAAUACUCCAAAGAUGAGACAGACAUUUUUCUCAUGAUCUGAAUUGGUGAUUCUUGCAUUACCAGGGUUGAGGCAAGCAGCAUCAUUGGCUUGCCAUUCCCUAAAUCCAAAAACUAUUUAAACACUUCAGGUUUAUAUUUCAGGUCAUUAAAUGAAUGUCUGCAAUAAGGGGAAGUAGGGUGUACCUGUAGAAGAGAACUUUCACUUGACCUUUAACACAUCAAUAGAGAGGGAGGGAACAUUAGACAAAAAGCUUUUUAUAGCAUUUUGCCUCCUCAGAUUUAGGCAAAUAGUCUAACCUUGAGUAUGUUAAUAUAUCUGACAUAUAGGUGCCGGUAAAGUAUUUAUUAAGUAAAUAAAUGUUCUCCAUUAAGAAGGAGCAGGUGAUAGUAAAAAUUAUCUAAACAUGAUGUAGUCACAAAUAUUCAGUCUAAAUGAUCCAGGGCUAAGGUUUGUGUCUGUCAUGGAUUUGUCAAUUCACUGCUAACACUCUUCUACUGAUGAAACAAAAGGGGAUGUAAGACAAUUAUCCAAAUAUUUCCCAAAAAAUUGCCAACUCUUUUUUACAGUUCCUCAGGAUUAUUCAACCUGCCUUACUUUACCCCUGGUUACAGUAAAAUGGUUGGCAAAAAUUGGAGAUUCACUGCAGAAGGAAGGGUUAGGAAAGUAGAAGGAGAAACUUUACUUCUAGCCACAGUUAAAAUACAGUAACUAUGGAUAGUUUGGUGUAAAGACUAGAACCAUGGAGUGCUUCAGGGUGAGUUAUCUGUCCACCAACUAUUAAGCUCCUUAAUGGCACAAUACUCUGAACAUUGUAGGUACUCAAUACAUAUUAUUUGGAUUGAGUUAAAACUCUAAAGUUACUUGCUUUAAUUUUUCUGGCCUGAAAGCCCUUGCUUGAGUCUAUACAACUACUACCAGUUAGAGGAAGGAAGAUCUUGGUAUAAAUGGCUAUAUUAAUGUGGAAAGCAGUUUUACCAUCUAUUAAAACUUAUCUUUUUGAUACUAUAAUGGAAAUUUUCUAGUCAAAAGUCUUCAUAUGGACUAUCAGCAGUUGAGUUUAUAGGCCUGCCUUACUUAUUUCCCUGUAUCAUACACCCAACUUACUACACAAAAAGGAAGAAAGACAAGAAGGAGGAAAAAAGAUUAUUUCUUGUAAAGUCAGGCUUAAGUUUUCUAUCACCAUCUAAUUUCUCUCUCUCUGACCUCACCAUCUUGAGAGAAUUAAAGGCUAAAGACUCAUAAUUUCAGUUGCCUUCAGCAUACAUUGAAACCAUAGCAGGAAAGAAAAAUACCCAAUGGAUUCAUAACAGGAAGCCUUGUGCAUAACUCAGAGGAACUCAAGCAAAGAGAAUGUAAUUUCAUGGUGAAAUCAAGAAGAUUAUUGAUCUACAAACCCAUACCUGUACAUACAAAGAAAAUUUUUAUAACAAAGACGGGAUGGAAUUUUCUUUCUUUCUACCAGAAAGAACACCCACUCCUCCCGAUUGUAACUUCUUGGCAUUUUGCUAGAGUAUGGAUUAAAUGAUAAUUUAGGGGAAGGGUACCGCCUACAUGAUUUGCUAUGCACUUGGAUAUGUAUCCCUGGAUUUCGAGUCUUCUUCAAAUUGUUAUUCCAUGUAGCCUAUGACAUCACAGCCUGGAAGUUUUGGCCUUGGUUUGCAGCACCCUCCUUGUGAGAAAAUCAAACAUUGCUUUGCUAUUCAUUAAAUUUCACUAAUGUUAAAUAAAACUUCAAAUGUUGGUAACCAAUUAAUUAAUGACAUUUUUUAUUGGGCAUUAGAUGCUGGGAACAAUUACAAUUUAGAAGGAAAAGACAGGCCAGCCCAGUGGCGUGGUAGUUAAGUUUGCACACUCUGCUUCAGCCACCCGGAGUUUGCAGGCCCAGA